CUCGCGGUCUCAGAAGGCAAGCAUCCCUUGAGGGUGCGCACGUUGCAACUCGCCGCUCCCCGGCUUCCGCGGCAGCAGUUUCGCCCCGCCCGGGACGGGAGCCGCGCGCGCUCCGUCAGCCCCGCUUUCCUUCUUGCCCUGCGGUCGUGCCCUGCAGCCUUCGGCCGCGCGCUCCCGCCGACCCGCCGGCACCCAGCCCGCAGGGCCGAGCCUGAUGCUGGGAAAGAUUGAAGGCAAAAGGAGAUGGGGGCGGCAGGAGAUGAGAUGGUUGGAUAGCGUCACGGACUCAUUGGUCAUGAAUUGAACAAACUUCGGGAGAUAGUGGAGAACACGAAAGCCUGGCGUGCUGCAGCCCAUGGGGUCACAAAGAACUGGAUAGGACUGAGCGACUGAACAACAAUUUGACAGAUGAGAAAAACUGAAACUCACAAGGUGCGCUAACUAGGUAGAGCGAACAUCUUCAGUUUUACCUUCUUAACUUCUCCCAGACCACCCCAGCCCCGUCCCUGACAAACACCACCUCCCAGAGAAGCCUGGAGCAGAAUCCAUACCUAGGGCUCCACAAGACGAGCACCCUCACUGAGCCACGUUCCCAACGAAACCUCUCAGUGGACAUUGUUCUGUGACCUUGAUCUUCUGAAAGCCACCCAUUCUUCCCCAGAUAGCCACGUUUCCUACCGCACGAUGUAGAAUUCGACCCCAGCCUGUACAGGAACCAUCCCUUGGUCUGCUGUCAACCCCCUGUGAAAGCCGUGUUAUGAAAUCAUGAUGCUAAAUUGUGAAACCAGUGAUGCUGGGAAACAGGGACUCAAGCAGACAGGCAAGGAGAGACUCAUGAAUAAGGCAGACGAAAAAUAUUUUCACCUUUCCUAAAACAGCAGGAGAGAGCCUACUUUCUAGUGGUUUGAUAAAUUGAGUAGCCUCAAGAUAACAUCAGCCUGACCCACUCAGAAGAUGCUUCAGGAAGACGGUGCUGCACCUCUGCUCCCCAAUUCGGAACUUUGAUGGUGUUUUGUGGCAGUCACAGAACUCCAUUUGGGUCACACUGAUCAUCAGGUCAUGUAAAAACACCAGAUUGUUUAAACUGAAAUCUUUCCAUUUUGAGCAACUUCUGUCCCCUACCAUUUUAUGUUUGAGUAGUCUUAAAAAAAAAAAGGCAUCCAAGAUUUUUCAGUACAGUUCUCUUUGUUGGUUUUAGGGCAAGCUUCCAGCCUAACUGCUUCAGUUUAUGCCCUGACCAUGGAUGGCAGCAUGAAGCAAAUGGAAGGGCUGCAGAGGAGCAGAUAUGAAACCAUGGCUGAAGGCAAAGUACAUCAUGUGAAAUGCUGCACUGGAUGAAGCACGCUGGAAUCAAGAUUGCUGGAAGAAAUAUCAAUAACCUCAGAUACACAGAUGACACCACCUUUAUGGCAGAAAGUGAAGAAGAACUAAAGAGCCUCUUGAGGAAAGUGAAAGAGGAGAGUGAAAAGGUUGGCUUAAAACUCAAGAUUCAUAAAACUAAGAUCAUGACAUCUGGCCCCAUCACUUCAUAGCAAAUAUAUGGGGAAACAGUGGACACAGUGACAGACUUUAUUUUGGGGGGCUCCAAAAUCACUGCAGAUGGCAAACAGGCUGUAUGCCAGGCAUUCUAGAAAAUGAACUGAGAACAAGCGUCAUGAAAUCAAAGGAUGCUUGCUCCUUGGAAGAAAAGCUAUGACCAACCUGGACACCAUAUUAAAAAGCAGAGACAUUACAUUGCCAACAAAGGCCUAUCUAGUCAAAGCUAUGGUUUUUCCAGUCAUCAUGUAUGGAUGUGAGAGUUGGAUUAAAAAGAAACCUGAACACUGAAGAAUUGAUGCUUUUGUACUGUGGUGUUCAAGAAGACUCUUGAGAGUCCCUUGGGCUGCAAGGAGACCCAACCAGUCAAUCCUAAAGGAAAUCAGUCCUGAAUAUUCAUUGGAAGGACUGAUGCCGAAGUUCCAAUACUAUGGCCACCUGAUGCAAAGAGCUGACACAUUGGAAAAGACCCCGAGGCUUGGAAAGAUUGAAAUCAAAAGAAGGGGAUAGCAGAGGAUGAGAUGGUUAGAUAGCAUCAUCAACUCAAUGCACAUUAAUCUGAGCAAAAUCUGGGAGAUAGUGAAGGACAGGGAGCCUGGCAUGCUGCAGUCCCUGGGUUGCAAAGAUUUGAACAAGACUUAGCAACUGAACAACGAGCACACAGUAAGAACAAGCUUUGUUGGCCUCCAUUCCAGACUUGUUAUGUGAAUUUAUCAAGGACUUCUGUGUUCUAUACCUUUUAGCAAUUAAGUAAUUUUGCACCUGUAUUCAACAAAUUAUGAUUGAAUGAACUUUUGGUUGUUCAUGGAUUAUGUACACAUAACUUUACAACUGACUGCUGUGUCAGGAACAUGCCUCCUUUGACCUUUGGGGCUCAUUCAUCAACACUUCUGGAAAUCCUCUGGUGGAGUCAUAUUUGAACUUAAAUGCCACAGUGGAAAACUUGUCUCUGGUUUGUAGAUUCUUUUUAUUUUCAUCCAGAAGCAUGCUUUCAAAUUUGAUCAUUGACCCUAUUCACCAGGUUUAGACGCUGUCAAAAAGAAAGUCCAUUCUCAGUAGGUCAAGUUGUGAUCUCUAAGAACAGUCAGGUGAGAGGCAACUGCCAUCCUAUUGGGUGGGGCACAAGUGGAGUCCAUGCAGAGCCUCCCUUGUUAAAUCACUUGGUUAGACACAGAUCACCCUCUUGACUAAGGAGGCCAUUGCUCUAGAGGAGAACCCCAAGAAUUUCUCAGUCCUAGAAGCUGUUGUCCUUAUUAUCAAGAUGUCCUCUUUUUUUAAAAAGCACUUUUCUCUUGAACUCUUCAAAUACCUACUGAAUUAGUUGAAGAACUAAACCUCACAGAACCAGUUUCUAGAUCCUUCCUUCAGCGGCUGUGCUGUGCAGUAGCAGCCGAGAGGAGAUACACAGGUCAGGAGCAGCGGCCGAGAGGAGCUACCCCUCGUCCACCCCACAUCCAAGGUAAGAGAAACCCCAGUAAGACGGUAGGCACUGGGAGAGGGCAUCAAAGAGCAGACAGACUGGAACCACAAUCACAGACAACUAGCCAAUCAGAUCACACAGACCACAGCCUUGUCUAACUCAGUGAAACUAAGCCAUGCUGUAUGGGGCCACCCAAGAUGGACGGGUCAUGGUGGAGAAGCCUGAUAGAAUGUGGUCCACUGGAGAAGGGAAUGGUCAACCACUUCAGUAUUCUUGUCUUGAGAACCCCAUGAACAGCAUGGAAAAGCAAAAAGGUAGGACACUGAAAGAUGAACUCCCCAGGUCGGUAGAUGCCCAAUAUGCUACUGGAGAUCAGUGGAGAAGUAACUCCAAAAAGAAUGAAGUGAUGGAGCCAAAGCAAAAACAAUACCCAGUUGUGGAUGUGACGUGAUAGAAGCAAGGUCGGAUGCUGUAAAGAGCAAUAUUGCAUGGGAACCUGGAAUGUUAGGCCCAUGCAUCAAGGCAAAUUGGAAGUAGUCAAACAGGAGAUGACAAGAGUGAACAUCAACAUUCGAGGAAUCAGCGAACUAAGAUGGACUGGAAUGGGUGAAUUUAACUCAGAUGGCCAUUAUAUCUACUACUGUGGGCAGGAAUCCUUUAGAAGAAAUGGAGUACCCAUCAUAGUCAACAAGAGUCCGAAAUGCGGUACUUGUAUGCAAUCUCAGAAACAACAGAAUGAUCUCUGUUCAUUUCCAAGGCAAACUAUUCAAUAACACGGUAACCCAAGUCUAUGCCCCAACCAGUAAUGCUGAAGAAGCUGAAGUUGAAUGGUUCUAUGAAGACCUACAAGACCUUCUAGAACUAACACCCAAAACAGAUGUCCUUUUCAUUAUAGGGGACUGGAAUGCUAAAGUAGGAAGUCAAGAAACACCUGGAGUAACAGGCAAAUUGUGCCUUGGAGUACAGAAUGAAGCAGGGCCAAGGCUAAUAGAGUUCUGCCAAGAGAACGCACUGGUCAUAGCAAACAUCCUCUUCCAACAACACAAGAGAAGACUCUACACAUGGACAUCACCAGAUGGUGAACACUGAUAUCAGACUGAUUAUAUUAUUUGCAGCCAAAGAUAGAGAAGCUCUAUACAGUCAGCAAAAACAAGACCGGGAGCUGACUGUGGCUCGGAUCAUGAACUCCUUAUUGCCAAAUUCAGACUUAAAUUGAAGAACUAGGGAAAACCACUAAACCAUUCAGGUAUGACCUAAAUCAAAUCCCUUAGGAUUAUACACUGGAAGUGAGAAAUAGAUUUAAGGGACUAGAUCUGAUAGACAGAGUGCCUGGUGAACUGUGGACGGAGGUUCAUGACAUUGUACAGGAGACAGGAAUCAAAAUCAUCCCCAAGAAAAAGAAAUGCAAAAAAGCAAGAUGGCUGUCUGAGGAGGCCUUACAAAUGCUGUGAAAAGAAGGGAAGUGAAGGACAAAGGAGAAAAGGAAAGAUAUAUGCAUUUGAAUGAAGAGUUCCAUAGACUAGCAAGGAAAGAUAAGAAAGCCUUCCUCAGUGAUCAAUGCAAAGAAAUAGAGGAAGACAAUAGAAUGGAAAGACUAGAGAUCUCUUCAAGAAAAUGGAAGAUACCAAGGGAAUAUUUCAUGCAAAGAUGGCUCAAUAAAGGACAGAAAUAGUAGGGACCUAACAGAAGCAGAAGAUUUUAAGAAGAGGUGGCAAGAAUACACAGAAGAACUGUACAAAAAAAAUCUUCACGACCCAGAUAAUCACGAUGGUGUGCUCACUCACUUGGAGCCAGACAUCCUGGAAUGUGAAGUUAAAUGGGCCAUAGGAAGCAUCACUAUAAACAAAGCUAGUGGAGUUGAUGGAAUUCCAGUUGAGCUAUUUCAAAUCCUGAAAGAUGAUGCUGUGAAAGUGCUGCACUCAAUAUGCCAGCAAAUUUGGAAAGCUCAGCAGUGGCCACAAAACUGGAAACGGUCAGUUUUCAUUCCAACCCCAAAGAAAAGCAGUGUAAAGAAUGCUCAAACUACCACACAAUUGCACUCAUCUCACACGCUAGUAAAGUAAUGCUUAAAAUUCUCCAAGCCAAGCUUCAGCAAUACGUGAACCGUGAACUUCCAGAUAUUCAAGCUGGUUUUAGAAAAGGCAAAGCAACCAGAGAUCAAAUUGCCAACAUCCGCUGGAUCAUUGAAAAAGCAAGAGAGUUCCAGAAAAACAUCUCUUUCUGCUUUAUUGACUAUACCAAAGCCUUUGACUGUGUGGGUCACAAAAAACUGUGGAAAAUUCUUCAAGAGAUGGGAAUACCAGACCACCUGACCUGCCUCUUGAGAAAACUGUGUGCAGGUCAGGAAGCAGCAGUUAGAACUGGACAUGGGGCAACAAACUGGUUCCAAAUAGGAAAAGGAGUACGUCAAGACUGUACAUUGUCACCGUGCUUAUUUAACUUAUAUGCACAGUACAUCAUGAAAAAUGCUGGGCUGGAGGAAGCACAGGCUGGAAUCAAGAUUGACAGGAGAAAUAUCAAUAACCUCAGAUAUGCAGAUGACACCACCCUUAUGGCAGAAAGUGAAGAAGAACUAAAGAGCCUCUUGAUGAAAGUGAAAGAGGAGAGUAAAAAAAGUUGGCUUAAAGCUCAACAUUCAGAAAACUAAGAUCAUGGCAUCUGGUCCCAUCACUUCAUGGGAAAUAGAUGGGGAAACAGUGGAAAUAGUGGCUGACUUUAUUUUUCUGGGCUCCAAAAUCACUGUAGAUGGUGACUGCAGCCAUGAAAUUAAAAGACGCUUACUCCUUGGAAGGCAAGUUAUGACCAACCUAGAUAGCAUAUUGAAAAGCAGAGACAUUACUUUGUCAACAAAGCUCUGUCUAGUCAAGGCUAUGGUUUUUCCAGUGGUCAUGUAUGGAUGUGAGAGUUGGACUAUAAAGAAAGCCGAGCACCAAAGAAUUGAUGCUUUUGAACUGCGGUGUUGGAGAAGACUCUUGAGAGUCCCUUGUUCUGCAAGCAGAUCCAACCAGUCCAUCCUAAAGGAAAUCAGUCCUGAGUGUUCAUUGGAAGGACUGAUGUUGAAUUUGAAACUCCGAUACUUUGGCCACCUGAUGAGAAGAACUGACUCAUUUGAAAAGACCCUGAUGCUGGGAAAGAUUGAAGGCAGCAAGAGAAGGGGACAACAGAGGAUGAGAUGGUUGGAUGGCACCACCGACUCAAUGGACAUGGGUUUGAGUGGACUCCAGGAGUUGGUGAUGGACAGUGAGGCCUGGCGUCCUGCGGUUCAUAAGUUCGCAAAGAGUCAGAGAUGACUGAGCGACUGAACUGAACUGACUGAAUGAAUCAUUCAUAAGGAACUAAUUAUAAAUAUAAGAACUGUGUUAUAGCAAAUAGCAGUUGGGGCCUGCAGUGUUAUUUCACAUAUACUAUGAAUGUUUUCUCACAAUGCGCUUCCCUUCCAUGUUGUCUUUACUUCAUUCAUAUUUGUAAUGAACCUUAGAAAAAGCAUGUAUUUGAGAUGUUAUUUCCCUCAGAUUUAAUCUCCAAUCUCUUUCUCCCUAAGUUUCACCAGUGCAAUAGAUACCCUCAGUCCCUUUCAGAGACAAAACAAAGGACAACUGUAAAAAUUCCAGAUAUUUGAGUUUGAGUUAUCUGCCAUAAUUAUUUAUAAUAUUAAAUCAUCCCUCUAUCACUGAAAUUUUGCAGCUUGAGUUUGAGUUAUCUGCCAUAAUUAUAAAUACUGUAAAGUCAUCUCUGCUGGGAGUCAUUAUGGGAGAUCCCACCCAUGAUGAAGUCAUGAAGAGAAGACCUGACAGGCAAGGCCAUUCAGGAUAUGAAGGACCUUUUAGCGAACAUCUCAGGAUGGCAUCAAACAUUAUUUAUUUGUAGUUCUAAAUCUCUUUAGUUUUUCUGUAAAAGUUUUUUUUUUAGAAAUUAUCACUGGUAUUUAUGUUCACCAAUCUAUAAAAUGCUAAUAAAAAAAUCAAUUCUUGGUUGCUUAAGGAAAGUAAGAUGUGUGUGUUCAGUAAAAAAGGUUAUGAGAAAUAAAGUUACAUUUUAUGAAGAAAAAAGGAAGUAAGUCUGACUUACAGUUGGCUCUUACAGGAUGGGAGAACAAAUGGGUACAAAAACUGAUAAAAAGGUUUUAUGGAAACUGGACCCCAAGGGAAGAGUUUUGUGUAUAAAUACAAGUUUUCUUAAGAUGUUAAACUGCCUUUGACAAUGGAUUUUAAGUUUCUUUACCUCUGAAGUGAUCUGUUCUAUGUUUACCUUUGAAAUCUUCUUUUUUACUUUGGCUAAGUAAAUAUAUUAUUUCACAGUGAUCUAUAUGAUUCUACCUGACAGAGUACUAUAAACCCUUUUGAUAUUUAUUGACAAAACUGCCUAAAUAGCUUGACUUCUAGCUGACUUUGGGAUGCUUCAGAGGGCCCCUGAGACAUCCCAAAGAGCUAUUAAACUACCUGAGUUCAUUUGACAUGCUAAAUUGCAUGGGAAAUAUUGUUGGAGGAGUAAUAAACCUUCUCAGGUUAUAUUGUAUGGUUACUUAUAUAGAUAUCCUAAAAAUUAUGAGAAAUUCAUAAUCUGUCCUGGUAAAAUGUUGUCAGUUAUAAUUUUAGUUAUCAUGUUAAAGUGUUACAAGUCACAGCAAUGACUAGGUUACUUUGUUAAUUACAAUGUAAUUAGAUUUUAAACAUGUCUUGUAUGGUUUCACUCUCAUUGCCUUUAAAAAAAUACUGCUAGUUCUUCAAGAUUUAUAAAAAAAAAAGACUUUUCUAAGAUUAACUGAAAAUUUUUGUUUGUUUGCUCUCUGGUAAAUUGGUAACAGACUAGAAUUUAGUCUACUCUCUAUGUUAAGGGAACAAAGUUUUCUUAAAAUAAAUAUUUCAAUGACAGAUUAUGAAUUUCUUUGCCUUUAAGUGAUUUAUGUUUGUUUUUAAAAUCUUUUGUUACUUUAGUAAAGUAAAUAAGUGCUAUUUAAGAUUAUAGUACAUGUAAAAGCUCAUUUUGCUUCUACAAAAAAAUAACCCCUCACUGUUAGACUUGUGCUAUCAUAAAACAUGUCCUUAAAACACGGCAACAGUCUACUCCUAAAUCGGAAAAUUAAAAAUGGGUGAACAAUAGCUGAAAAUCAAAGAGUCGGGGCUAUAGAAAAUCCAAGAUGGCCGCUUGGCUUUUCCCAGCUCCCUGACAAACCUCAUUUUUAUUUGAUGGGUUAAAGCCUUCCCUGACUACAGGGUUAAUGCCUCCAUAAUGAAAAAGCACUGAAUAUUAAGUUUUGUAAAUUGUUAAACUAAGUUUCUAAUUUUGUUAAUUAAGGUCUAGUGUUUACUAAGACUCACUUCUGAGACAGUUCCUUGUGGUUAUGUUAUAUUGCUAAGAGGUUUAAUUAAGUUAUUACAAAGGACAAUUUGAGUUUGUUUCUAAAGCUUGUCUCAGUAACCUGUUUUUGAAUAAAGAUCAGAUGCUCCAUAAUGUACAACCAGGAGAUUAACACCAGGCUAUAGUCAGUUAACAAAUGAAGUCAGAUGACCUGGGGUAUACCAGGCUCUACCUAUUGAAAGUUCUUGACUUAUAAUUCUUACUUAUGACUUUACUAAUAACUGCUAGCUAUAGCUGUAUUAUUUUCUAUGUCACUUGUUUCAGAAGAUUAUUUCUUACAUUAACAAAUGUGUGACUGAGCCUGUGAUAUAAUGUUGAUAUGCAGUUCCAUAUGAGAUCAAUGAUUGUAAUAAUGUAACUCUAGAUAUGGGAAGAAGCAACAAGAGGAAAUAUUUUCCUGGACCAAGAGGCUAGUAAGACAGUGGUCCAGAGACUUUUGCUACUUGCAAGGCCUGGUCCAAUAACAGCACACUGAGUGGCCUAUCAAUGGAAUCUCCCCUAGACCUGGGAAUGAGCCUUUCCAGCACUGUGGGACACAAUGACCAUAAAAUGCCCCCCAAACAUGGUCAUAUAUGUGGCUAUGAAGGGACCCUGCUGACUAGAAGUUGGUACUUGCCAGCUGCCUCUACAAAGAUUACAUCAUGACCACUGCAAGCUGCUGACCUUUCACACCCCCUAAAAGGAGUUCAGGGUGGAGAUCAGAAAUAAGGCACUCUGUGCUCUGGGAAAAACCCAGAAAAACCAGCCUUCAGAUAGUCAGAUGUUUUCAGGUAAAGAUUUUAUGAGCCCAAAUUCUUGCAUCUUCUCGUACCUAAAUAAACACUAACAUCAUGAACCAAUGUCUGGUCCUGGUUCUCCUGGUAGCCCCUGAACAGCUUUUCUACUUCUAUUAAUCUUUGGGCCAGGUACCUUUAACUUUCUUGUUAAGUCUGUUUCUUCCAGAAUACAACAGACCUCCAAGUGGUAAUAUGACAAGAAUAUUCCCUGACUAACACCUAGACAAUGCUGAAACAAGUCACCUUAUCAUUCCUUGGACUCUUAUCAUCCCGUGAUAUUCCCUGAUACAAAAUCACCAAUUUGGGUCCCAGACAGAUUGAUUUGACAUGUCGCAGAUCUUCAAGCAUCCGACCCCAAAAAAGGAAGGGAGCUCCUCUAUCUCUACCACCCCCACCUAAUUGGAGAAGUCAAAUAAAUCAGCCGCAGAUGAUGUCAGAAAUUGCUUUAAAAAGGUCGGAAAGACCCUCCCACCAAGCAGAUGUCAUGGCUUUGCUUAGGUGGUCAUGAUCCUCCCACUUCUUCACGCCGCAGGAGACCACCAAGACGACCGGCACAUUCAACACAACGAGCUUCUCUCCCUACCUGGGGACAAAUCAAGAUGCUCUGUCAUCAAGCACAAGAGAUAGCAUCCCUACAAGGAUCUCCAUCCUCCCCUGAAAGAAUCUUUAUUGCCAUUCUUGCUUUACUUUCUUGUCAGCGCCUGCCUUAUCCUGUGGUACCGGUUACAAUAACUACUCAUUGGUAUGAUAAUUAUGGUCUAGCUGUGCUUCAACAAUUAUGAAAUCUGAUGUGCUCUAAGCAAUUUAUAAGAUUGCUUGUUAUAGGAAUUUCAGCAUUAAUUACUGCUAUUACCUCUGUCUCUGUAGCAGCAAUUGCAUUAACCCAGCAAACACAUACUGCACAGUAUGUUAAUACUAUGUCAAAAAAUGUCUCCUUAGCUCUAGCCACUCAAGAGGUCACAGACAGAAAAUUAGAAAUAAAAGUAGAUGCCCUAGAGGAAGUGGUGAUGCAUAUCGGAACAGAACUGAAAGCCCUAAAAGUAAAUCAGCACUGUCCUGUCAUGCCAACUAUUGGUGGACUUGUGUAACACCCUUAAAGUUUAAUGAGACUGAUUACAAUUGGGAAAAAAUUAAAAAUCAUAUUUCAUGGGUAUGGAAUAGCUCUAGCAUAAGUUUAGAUUUAGACAGACUGCAUGGACAGAUUAGAACAAUCGAGCAUUCCCGACUAGAUUUUACUGCCGCUGGAGCUGCCAGUGAUUUCUUUGAAAUCCUCUCCAACUUUACCUCUGCCAAAAAUAUUUUCUCUACUAUUUUCAGCUACAUUGCUGUAAUAGCACUGAUCCUUAUUAUUAUUGUUAUCCUCCCUUGUAUUGUCAGAGCUCUUCGGCAGAGCACUCAGAACUUUGCAACUGAGAUCCAUCUGGCUGUUUUAAAAAAUAAAAAAGGGGGAGAUGCUGGGAGCCAUUAUGGGAGAUCCCGCCCAUGACAAGGUCAUGAGGAGAAGACCUGACACGCAAGGCCAUUCAGGAUACGAGGGAUCCUCCAGGUUGACCCCGGCCUCUACCCCACCCUAUAUCCUCCCCCCUUUACUGCUGUUGUUCUUGUUCGCCCUGCUGCAGAUUCCUGUGUUGCCUGCCGAGAGCUCUCCUGCUCCUCUUUCACCGAAUAAAGACCAACUUAAAACCCUAAUUAAUAAAUCUCCUAGACGCUGGUACCCUACGAAGGGGCCAGGGACAAACAAAUGCUUCAAUUCAAACCCUUUUGCUGGCAUUCUGGCUUGUUUGGCAAAUGUGUGCUCCCAUUGCAAAAAAAUGCUCAUGAUUGUUCUAAACAUCCUAAGCACAGUACACUAAUGAAAGAAACCAUUAAGCAUAGGUCCCUCCGCGGGGUGAAAAAAAAGCUCCAUAAAUAAAAUAGUCAAAUAGUCAAAAAUAGCAGUAAUGUCCCCUGUAUUAAAGAAGAUUAAAAAUGUUACUGCUUCAUGGUAAGUAACAUAGCUGGAGGUGCUAGACAAAGGUUAUUGUGUUAGAGCCGCAAGAUGUGCCUAAUAGAAAAUAUAUUAGAUAGAGAUUAGCUGGUGACUUCUUGCAGGUAGUUAACUUUUAGACUAAGAGCCUGUUUUGUGCCAUAUCUGCUGUUUCUGCAGUCCUUCGCAUUUCUGUUCUGUAAAAAUGUAAUCCUAUCUAAUUCCCAUAGAGAUGACGCUUAUUAGAAAGAAAAUAGAUUAAUUAUAAGAAAAACAGGGUUGGCUACUGAAGUUGCUUAAGUCACACCAGGUGCAAGCCAUAAAAUAUUAGCAGGCCUGAAGGCCAAAUGAUAAGAAAGACUCUUGUGAACGAAAGUAUGUGGGUGAAAUCCUGUUUCUGUUGAAGGUCAAGUUGCUGCAAUGUUUUGAGAUGACCUGUGUGUAAGCAAUAUGCACUUCCCCCAAAAAGAAGUUGUUAAGGGUAUAAAGGGGCCGUGCAAAAAUAAACUUCAGAC